CGAAUGUAUUUCCCACCGUAGGAGGCGUGGCCUUUGACGGCCCCCUGUGCACGUGAACCUCAAGAUGGCGUUGCUAGGAAACCCACCUAUUUUCAGGAGAGCCAGACAAAACUACCUUAAACACCUGGAAAGAGGAAGGACGACUCAGCCAUCAAAGUUAAGCUGGACACGAAGUAGACCUUCAAACUUGAGUCAUCUUUGCAUAUUGUCCCGUGCUACUGACCACCCAGUGGAAGGAAAACAAAGGAAAUAGGAGCAGGGCAGAGGAGCCAGAAAGUGAGAUAGCUGGACUGGGAAAUGAUGGAUAUGAAAGUUGUUGACAGCACAUAAAUGGGUGAGAUAUAGCAAAAAAGUGAGUGUAAAAGAUGAGAUUGGG
rnacentral:lncRNA from 15 species